AAGUCGUAACAAGGUUUCCGUAGGUGAACCUGCGGAAGGAUCAUCAUUGAAUGUGAUUUUUCUUUUGUGUGGAAUUAGAUGUUUAUAAUUUUACAAACAAAAACCAAUGAGAAACAACUUUUAACAAUGGAUCUCUUGGCUCUC
rnacentral:misc_RNA from 1 species